GAUGAAGAACGCAGCGAAAUGCGAUAGGUAAUGUGAAUUGCAGAAUUCAGUGAAUCAUCGAAUCUUUGAACGCACAUUGCGCCCCUUGGUAUCCCGAGGGGCAUGCCUGUUCGAGCGUCAUUUCACCACUCAAGCCUGGCUUGGUGUUGGGCGACGUCCUCUUUGGGGACGCGCCUCGAAACGCUCGGCGGCGUGGCACCGGCUUUAAGCGUAGCAGAAUCUUUCGCUUUGGAAGUCGGGGCCCCGUCUGCCGGAAGACCUGCUCGCAAGGUUGACCUCGGAUCAGGCAGGGAUACCCGCUGAACUUAAGCAUAUCAAUAAGCGGAGGA
rnacentral:misc_RNA from 1 species